ACCUCAUCCAGAGCAGCGGAGGGAAUGGCCCGAUGAAGCUGCGGCAACCAUGGCAAUGUGUGCCAACGGUGCCAAUUCCUAUAGGCGGAGCGCCUAUGAGAUGAGAG
rfam:Selenomonas flueggei ATCC 43531 contig00024, whole genome shotgun sequence.